AUCCCACCGAAGCAGAUUUGCAACAAGUUCUUGCGGAUUUUGAUAAUUGAUAAACCAUGAUGUUGGGAUUUCAUAUUUACAUAUGCUUUUAUUACUAUUUAACUUUUGAGUUUGGAUUUUGAUAAGAUCAUAUGUAUUUGGUUGAUGAUAUUUUAUGUAGUGUUUUUAAUUUCGAAGAUAUUUUAAGAUUUGUAUCAGACUAUAAUUAUAUUUUAGGAUGUG
rnacentral:lncRNA from 1 species